CACACGUGACGCGCGCCGGCGCGCGCUGUUUCCGGAAGUCGCCGCCGCGGUCUCCGCCGCUUCUGCCUUCGCUGCUGCUGCGGUCCCAGCGGAACUUUUCGUGUAGAACGGCCGAGGCGGGCCCAGGCGGGGCCGGGGUUCCGGCCACUCUGCAGAAUGGAGAUAAUCAGGAGCAAUUUUAAGAGUAAUCUUCAAAAAGUGUACCAGGCCAUAGAGGAGGCCGACUUCUUCGCCAUCGAUGGGGAGUUUUCAGGAAUCAGUGAUGGACCUUCAGUCACUGCAUUAACAAAUGGUUUUGACACUCCAGAAGAAAGGUAUCAGAAGCUUAAAAAACAUUCCAUGGACUUUUUGCUGUUUCAGUUUGGCCUUUGCACUUUUAAGUAUGACUACACAGAUUCAAAGUAUAUAACGAAGUCAUUUAACUUCUAUGUUUUCCCGAAACCCUUCAAUAGAUCCUCGCCAGAUGUCAAGUUUGUUUGUCAGAGCUCAAGCAUUGACUUUCUAGCAAGCCAAGGAUUUGAUUUUAAUAAAGUUUUUCGCAAUGGAAUUCCCUAUUUAAAUCAGGAAGAAGAAAGACAGUUAAGGGAGCAGUAUGAUGAAAAACGCCUACAGUCCAAUGGUGCAGGAACUCUGUCUUACGUAUCUCCCAACGCGUCAAAAUGUCCUGUGACGAUUCCUGAGGAUCAGAAGAAGUUUAUUGACCAAGUGGUAGAGAAAAUUGAAGAUUUAUUACAAAGUGAAGAAAACAAGAACUUGGAUUUAGAGCCAUGUACUGGGUUCCAAAGAAAACUAAUUUAUCAGACUUUGAGCUGGAAGUAUCCCAAAGGCAUUCACGUUGAGACUUUAGAAACUGAAAAGAAGGAACGAUACAUCGUCAUCAGCAAAGUAGAUGAAGAGGAACGUAAAAGGAGGGAGCAGCAGAAACACGCUAAAGAACAGGAAGAACUGAAUGACGCUGUGGGAUUUUCUAGAGUUAUUCAUGCCAUUGCCAAUUCGGGAAAACUCGUCAUUGGACACAAUAUGCUCUUGGAUGUCAUGCACACGGUUCAUCAAUUCUACUGCCCUCUGCCUGCGGACUUAAAUGAGUUUAAGGAGAUGACAACAUGUGUUUUCCCCAGACUCUUGGAUACAAAAUUGAUGGCCAGCACACAACCUUUUAAGGAUAUCAUUAACAACACAUCUCUUGCAGAACUGGAAAAGCGGUUAAAAGAGACACCUUUCAACCCUCCUAAAGUUGAAAGUGCAGAAGGGUUUCCAAGUUACGACACAGCUACUGAGCAACUCCACGAGGCAGGCUAUGACGCUUACAUCACAGGGCUGUGCUUCCUCUCCAUGGCGAACUACCUAGGUUCUUUUCUUAGCCCUCCAAAAAUUCACGUGUCUGCCAGAUCAAAACUCAUUGAACCUUUUUUUAACAAGUUAUUUCUUAUGAGAGUCAUGGAUAUCCCCUAUCUCAACUUGGAAGGACCAGACUUGCAACCAAAACGUGAUCAUGUUCUCCAUGUGACAUUCCCCAAAGAAUGGAAAACCAGCGACCUUUACCAGCUUUUUAGUGCCUUUGGUAACAUUCAGAUAUCCUGGAUUGAUGACACAUCAGCGUUUGUCUCUCUCAGCCAGCCCGAACAAGUACAGAUUGCCGUCAAUACCAGCAAAUACGCGGAAAGCUAUCGGAUCCAGACCUAUGCUGACUAUGUGGGAAAAAAACACGAGGAGAAGCAGAUCAAGAGAAAGUGGACAGAAGAUAGUUGGAAGGAAGUUGAGAGAAAGCGGUUAAACACUCAGUGCAUAUCCUACGCUCUGCAGAAUCACUAUCACCACGCCAAUAGUCUUACCUCGACCAGCACGGUACGAAAGAGAAAUCUGAGCCCCAGCCCCGCAGAAGCUGACUUGGAGACCAGAAUAUCAGGGGAGAUUUCCGACACUGAGCUGGAGCAGACAGAGUCCUGUGCAGAAUCCCUCUCCGAGGGAAGGAAAAAGGCCAAGAAAUUAAAAAGGAUGAAGAAGGAGCUUUCACCAGCAGAGAGAGACAAAGCAUGAACAGGGGAGAGUCAGAGAGAGGGAGACAAAGAAUCGGAAACAGGCUCCAGGUUCUGAGCUUUCAGCACAGAGCCCGACUCGGGGCUCGAACUCAUGGACCGUGACAUCGUGACCUGAGCCGAAGUCGGCCGCUCAACCAACUGAGCCACCCAGGCGCCCCUGAAUAAGCUAUUUUAAGAGAGAGACCACUUCACAGAACUUUCAUCAUAGUACAUUGUUCUAACUGUUCUCAUUUGCUAUUAGCCAUUGUCGAUCUCUUCCCGUGCCUCGUUUAUAAAUUAAACUUUAUCCCGCAUGUGUAUGUGCAGGAAAUCACGUGGUACCUAGAGAGGUUUCAGGCUUCCUCUGGGGGGUUUGGAAUGUGUCCCCCGCAGAUGAGGGGGGCUGCUGUAGUUUUCCAUGGGACCAGCUGCUUUUAGGAUCCAUUUAAUUUAAUUUGAGGAAUCCCUAAAAAGCCCUGUCUUUUGAUAGAGGAAGGCUUGGCAGGGGCCUUCUUAGUUAAAGAUGGUUAGUCCAUUUUGGUAAUCCUCUCUCUCUCCUCCAUGGUUUAGAGGUUUUGCUGAUGUGUGUAAGUAGCCUCAGUAUUUUAAAUGUGCAUUUCAAUUUGCACGGAGGCCUACUCCUACACAUGUUAUUUUCAGCGGCAGAAUUUUCACCGUUCCCAGCAAAACGCCAGGCAGCCUGGAUUUCUCUCAUAAGCAGAAUUACAUAAGGAGCAGAGGAAACCGGAGGCCAACCCAUGUUGAGAGCCUAGUAUGUGCUAGGUGCUGUGGCAGGAGCACCAGGCCUGCCCGAAGCCGAAUGCCACAUUCUCUCCACCACCCGGAUGCUUGGGGGGGGGGGGGGUUCGUGACCUAACCCAGCCUUCCGUGCACAGACCCUCUACGGCGCCAGACCGUGACGUGAGGGACGGGCUUGCUGUCCGCGGGGCCAGUUCCCUGCCCGGGAGAUCCAGCCAUCACCUACCGGGUCCACCAGCUGUCACAGGGAUGACAGUUACGGCCCCUGCUGACCCCUGCUUGCUAAGGGUCCAGCCUGGCAUCUCAUGCCCGGCAGAAGUGCUUGGCUCUAGUGUUCUGAGGUAGUCACCAUGGUCCAUUUUACAGUUCAGAGAACAGAGGACUUAAAGUUCAACGUGACUUGCCCAAGGUCACGGAGCCCUUAAGUCUGCCCUGCAGGAAAGCCAGGGCUUACAAGCACAGUUGCAUAUUUUCUGCUCCGGAUGGGAGGGCAGGAGGGCCGCUGACCGAGCCCCCCGUGGUUCCUCCUCUGUCUCGGAUCACCGCAGUCUCUGGGCAGCAGAACCUACCGUCAAAUCAAAGGAAAAGUGGUAAAGCCCUGGAACUUGGUUCAUACGCAAGCUAAAGAGUUCAUCGUGUUUCAAAUCAGUUCCUUCUUUUACAUGUGGCCUGAUCUGACCACAGAGAGUUUUCUGAAUCUCCUUGAUAAUAAUGAAAUCAAAGAAGCAGCAGAAAUGUUGCAUAUGUUUUUAUACAUUAUGCUGAGGUUUAACUUCAACUAAAAACUGAACUCCUGUUUGAAGCCCAGAUUGUUUAUUUUUUAAAAUGUUUUUUAACAUUUAUUUUUUGAGAGACAGAGCAUGAGCGGGGCAAGGGCAGAGAGAGAGGGAGUUGCAGAUUCCAAAGCAGGCUCCAGGCUCUGAGCUGUCAGCAUGGAGCCGGACGCAGGGCUCGAACUCAUGACCUGAGCCAGAGUCAGGUGCCCAACCGACUGAGCCAUCCAGGUGCCCCAUCAGAUUGUGUAUUUUAGCUGCCUCCUUGAAUCCCGGGUUCUCCUUGACUUGCCAACCUUCCCUUCCCUAAAUUGAGUUUUGGAGAAGUUUUUAAUCUGUACCAUACUUCGUCCUCGCCUGUGAUACCUUCUUACCACUGGCACAUUGUCCUUGCUCGGCGAAUGUUCAUAUUAAAUGUUGGCAUGACUUUCAGAGAUCACGAGCAGCAUGCCGCGGGGCAGGGUCCCCUCUUGUAUUCUUUUCCUUCUGACCUCAUUCUCUUCUGAAUUUUCAGCUUAUCUGUUACUUCUCAGGGACAGGAUGACAGGUGGUCUCCCCCCCUUCUGUCUCAGCAUAAUCUUAAACGUAUUAACAUUAGAAUACCUAACAAUAGACCACAUGAAUAGAUUAGCUCCUUUUUAUAACUUUAAUCUUGCGAAGUGAAAACUUUCUACAAGCUAUUUGGGGUCUCGAAUGUGUAAUGCCGUCAUUAAAAUAGGUUUUUAUUCUCCUCCCAUUGACAGUAAAUCUGUCACUGCCUCAAAAUUGGGGCUAAAAAAGAAAAAAAAGUGAUAAAUUUUGUAUUUCUUCACCAGUCCCACUAAAAGAGAAAAACAUCUUGACAGCUUUUAAUUGAACCAGAGACCUGGAGAUAAUUGGGCUUUCUGGAGCAGCAUUCACCGAGUGAGACCUUCCAGCAGCGCAAAGCUGGGAGUUUAAUGGGUCAUUCUUAGCUGCUUUGUGGAGGCCUCCCGGGCAGCCCUGCCAAGCUCUUCGAGGUUCCCGACACGUGGUAACUGAGACCCGAAGGAAAACAAAUCGCUGGUGCCGUGGCUGAGGAGGACCCAGCUGGCACAUUCAGAAGCCAUACUGUAUUUAAUUUCAUGAAAUGUGGUAUGGGAGGGGUUUGAAGCCAAGUCUGUGUCCUGGCAAAAACCCAGUUUCUUUUAUCUGUGUGGCUGUGUUUCUUUUCUUCCUUUUUAAUGUAAACUGUCUGCUGACACUCAGCACGGUUGUAGGCCAUCUUGAAUGUGCACAUUAUUAACCAGUUGAUGAUUUGUUGCUCACGUGAAACCCCUUUUCCAGUGUCAUGAAUUUUAACGCGUUUAAGAACCUACCUGGUGGGGAUCGUCGGCUGUGAAAUAAGCGAAGAGCCGACAUUCUUGGGCGCCGGGAUCGUGAGUUUUGGGGUUUGAAGUCUUUACUGCUUCGAGAGGUUUCUUUUCAUGUUCUCGUGUGCAGAUUUGGGGGCCUCCGCAGCACGCGGUUACAGUCUCCCCCGUGGAGAGACCCCUCGCGUCUGCCCACUUCCCGCCAUAGCUGCCUGAAAAUACUAAGCACUCCAGCUUGUUUUUCCAGUAGGAAAAUGUCUCACGCCGUCCACCCAUAAAGACGCUUACCAUAUGCCUUGGCCUUUGGGGCAUUUUUAUUUGGAGUCCUUCUUCCUAACUUGUGAGUUUCUCAAGGCGAACUGGAUGAGUACAAAAAGUUCACUUCUGUUUUUACACGUAGUGCUGUGUUCCCUUUUCCGUACCUUAGCCUGCUCGCCGUCUCUGUUCGGGAGUGUGUCCGGGGGUAAGGUGGCAUGUGUGUGUACACGUGCGUGUGUGUGUGCGUGUGUGUGUGAAAUCACAGAUUACAACGUGUACCAGCCCUCUCUCUGUUGAAACAGAUCACAGCAGCGACAGGAUUUCAUGGAUCUACUUCCGUAGGUCUGUUUCAUGUAGAUCAUUGUUAGAUAUUUAACAUUUUUUUUGUAUCAUGGAAAAUAAAAAUGAAAAAUGUAUUUCCAAGAGAUGAAAAUUAAAGAAAUUUUCCUAGGA